AUACGUAGGUGGCAAGCGUUGUCCGGAAUUAUUGGGCGUAAAGCGCGCGCAGGUGGUUCCUUAAGUCUGAUGUGAAAGCCCCCGGCUCAACCGGGGAGGGUCAUUGGAAACUGGGGAACUUGAGUGCAGAAGAGGAUAGUGGAAUUCCAAGUGUAGCGGUGAAAUGCGUAGAGAUUAGGAGGAACACCAGUGGCGAAGGCGACUGUCUGGUCUGUAACUGACACUGAGGCGCGAAAGCGUGGGGAGCAAACAGGAUUAGAUACCCUGGUAGUCCACGCCGUAAACGAUGAGUGCUAAGUGUUGGGGGGUUUCCGCCCCUCAGUGCUGCAGCUAACGCAUUAAGCACUCCGCCUGGGGAGUACGGUCGCAAGACUGAAACUCAAAGGAAUUGACGGGG
rnacentral:rRNA from 1 species